UCCUGGUCAGCUCAGUUGGUAGAGCGCUCCAGUGGAAACGGAGAGGUCUUUGGUUCGAUACCAAGACCAGGCG
rnacentral:tRNA from 1 species